rnacentral:rRNA from 1 species
GACGAACGCUGGCGGCGUGCUUAACACAUGCAAGUCGAACGGAGUGGCGAACGGGUGAGUAACACGGGGGUGACCUGCCCUGCACUUCGGGAUAAGCCUGGGAAACUGGGUCUAAUACCGGAUAGUGUGGGAUGGGCUCGGGGCCUAUCAGCUUGUUGGUGGGGUAAUGGCCUACCAAGGCGGCGACGGGUAGCCGGCCUGAGAGGGUGGACGGCCACAUGGGGACUAAGGUACGGGCCAGAAGCCAACGGGCGGCAGCAGUGGGGAAUAUUGCACAAUGGGCGGGAGCCUGAUGCAGGGACGCCGCGUGGGGGAUGACGGCCUUCGGGGUAUGAACUCCUUUCACCAUCGACGCGGUAGAUGGAGAAGAAGCACCGGCUAACUACGUGCCAGCAGCCGCGGUAAUUC